AAACAGCCGCCGGCAGAACGGGCAUCAUUGAUGUUGAUGAGCAAGGAGAACUCCGCUGUUUU
rnacentral:tRNA from 1 species